rnacentral:tRNA from 1 species
GGGGAUGUAGUUCAGUGAUAGAAUGCUUGCUAGCAACAAAAAGGCCCUGGGUUUGAUUCCCAGCAUUUCAA